AGGAUAAUAUUUAAUUAUAAUACUUGAUUUGCAAUCAAGAGGUACUGAAAAGUUUAUCUUU
rnacentral:tRNA from 1 species